AGGCUCUUCGCAAUUUGAAGAAGAAAGAACAUAUUGUGUGAAAAUCUUUGACUCGGUCAAAUUUUAUCCAGUUGUUUAUAAAACUGUUGUUAUCUGAUUCAUGUAAUUUUUCAGUGUUGAUUUAAAAGCCCAAAAAACCCAUCUAUACUGACUUUUUGAUAUUUUUUCUGUGAUUUGAAUUUAAAAAGAGAUAAAACUUUCGAUAAGUUAUGUAAACUCAGAACAAGUAUUUAGCUUUAGAAAGCAUUUACAUGUUUCAAACUUAUAAAAUUUACAUAUAUAAUGUUUAAAAUUAUGCAUAUAAAUCCUGUGUAAAAUGUGCAUGAAUAUGUUUCUCUUCUUUAAUGUGUUAAUCGUACUAUAUAUAACAUUAUUUUAAAAUUUUAAAAAGUUUAUGUCACAUACAAAAAACCAUCAAUAAAAAAUAUAAUUCUCCAUCUACAACAAGAAAAAUAAAAAAUUAUAAACAUAUAAAUUAAAAUUAAAAAAAAACUAAUAUUGAAAAAACAAGAAGUUAAUGUAAAAGAAAAAGACUGACAAAUAUUAUUAUAAAUAAAAUAAAUUUAUAAGACACAAUCCGCGCGAAGCGCGGAAAAAAAUCUCUAGUAAUUUUAAUGAAAACUAAGGCAAAUUUUAAAAUUAACUUAUUACAACUAUAAUGAAAACAAUUUUGCAAUAUGAUAUAUCGAUCUUACCAAAUACACAAAUCUAACGCUGUAAAAAAUAAAUUUAUGCUAUAUUAUGUCAUAUAAGAAAAAAAUAUAUGAAUUCAGAAAGUUAGUUAGUCUACCAUGUGAAAAGAGUUUUUUAAAAAUAAGUCUAAACUAUUAGAUUAUAAAGUAUUUUAAAUUUUGGAGCCCUAAAAAUAUUCAUAUUAAUCGAGGGUCUAAGGCAAAUGUUUUUUUUAAUACACUGCAGGCACGCCUUUG
rnacentral:lncRNA from 1 species